rnacentral:tRNA from 1 species
UUAAAGAGGCGAGAAUUGAACUCGCUACUAAGAAGUCAAAGUUCUUUGUUUUUCCUAUUAAACUACCCUUUA